rnacentral:rRNA from 1 species
AAAUUGAAGAGUUUGAUCAUGGCUCAGAUUGAACGCUGGCGGCAGGCCUAACACAUGCAAGUCGAACGGUAACAGGAAGCAGCUUGCUGCUUCGCUGACGAGUGGCGGACGGGUGAGUAAUGUCUGGGAAACUGCCUGAUGGAGGGGGAUAACUACUGGAAACGGUGGCUAAUACCGCAUAACGUCGCAAGACCAAAGAGGGGGACCUUCGGGCCUCUUGCCAUCAGAUGUGCCCAGAUGGGAUUAGCUUGUUGGUGAGGUAACGGCUCACCAAGGCGACGAUCCCUAGCUGGUCUGAGAGGAUGACCAGCCACACUGGAACUGAGACACGGUCCAGACUCCUACGGGAGGCAGCAGUGGGGAAUAUUGCACAAUGGGCGCAAGCCUGAUGCAGCCAUGCCGCGUGUAUGAAGAAGGCCUUCGGGUUGUAAAGUACUUUCAGCGGGGAGGAAGGUGUUGUGGUUAAUAACCGCAGCAAUUGACGUUACCCGCAGAAGAAGCACCGGCUAACUCCGUGCCAGCAGCCGCGGUAAUACGGAGGGUGCAAGCGUUAAUCGGAAUUACUGGGCGUAAAGCGCACGCAGGCGGUCUGUCAAGUCGGAUGUGAAAUCCCCGGGCUCAACCUGGGAACUGCAUUCGAAACUGGCAGGCUUGAGUCUUGUAGAGGGGGGUAGAAUUCCAGGUGUAGCGGUGAAAUGCGUAGAGAUCUGGAGGAAUACCGGUGGCGAAGGCGGCCCCCUGGACAAAGACUGACGCUCAGGUGCGAAAGCGUGGGGAGCAAACAGGAUUAGAUACCCUGGUAGUCCACGCCGUAAACGAUGUCUACUUGGAGGUUGUGCCCUUGAGGCGUGGCUUCCGGAGCUAACGCGUUAAGUAGACCGCCUGGGGAGUACGGCCGCAAGGUUAAAACUCAAAUGAAUUGACGGGGGCCCGCACAAGCGGUGGAGCAUGUGGUUUAAUUCGAUGCAACGCGAAGAACCUUACCUGGUCUUGACAUCCACAGAACUUUCCAGAGAUGGAUUGGUGCCUUCGGGAACUGUGAGACAGGUGCUGCAUGGCUGUCGUCAGCUCGUGUUGUGAAAUGUUGGGUUAAGUCCCGCAACG